rnacentral:rRNA from 1 species
CCUACGGGUGGCAUCAGUUGGGAAUAUUGUACAAUGGGGGAAACCCUUAUGCAGCAACGCCGCGUGAGCGAUGAAUGCCUUCGGGUCGUAAAGCUCUGUCCUAAGGGAAGAAUACUGACGUUACCUUAUGAGGAAGCCCCGGCUAACUACGUGCCAGCAGCCUCUGUAAUACGUAAGGGGCUAGCGUUAUCCGGAAUUACUGGGCGUGUAGGGUGCGUAGGCCGGCCAUCAAGUCAGAGGUGAAAGGUUACGGCUCAACUGUAGUGAGCCUUGGAAACUGUAGGGCUUGAGUGCAGGAGAGGGGAGGGGAAGACCGAGUGUAGCGGUGAAAUGAGUAGAUAUUGGGAGGAACACAAGUUGCGAAGGCGGGUCUCUGGAGUGUAAAUGACGCUGAGGCACGAAAGCGUGGGGAGCGAACAGGAUUAGAUACCGGUGUAGUC